GAUGAACGCUGGCGGCGUGCCUAAUACAUGCAAGUAGAACGCUGAAGCUUGGUGCUUGCACCGAGCGGAUGAGUUGCGAACGGGUGAGUAACGCGUAGGUAACCUGCCUGGUAGCGGGGGAUAACUAUUGGAAACGAUAGCUAAUACCGCAUAACAGUAGAUAUUGCAUGAUAUCUGCUUGAAAGGUGCAAUUGCACCACUACCAGAUGGACCUGCGUUGUAUUAGCUAGUUGGUGAGGUAACGGCUCACCAAGGCGACGAUACAUAGCCGACCUGAGAGGGUGAUCGGCCACACUGGGACUGAGACACGGCCCAGACUCCUACGGGAGGCAGCAGUAGGGAAUCUUCGGCAAUGGACGGAAGUCUGACCGAGCAACGCCGCGUGAGUGAAGAAGGUUUUCGGAUCGUAAAGCUCUGUUGUAAGAGAAGAACGAGUGUGAGAGUGGAAAGUUCACACUGUGACGGUAUCUUACCAGAAAGGGACGGCUAACUACGUGCCAGCAGCCGCGGUAAUACGUAGGUCCCGAGCGUUAUCCGGAUUUAUUGGGCGUAAAGCGAGCGCAGGCGGUUAGAUAAGUCUGAAGUUAAAGGCUGUGGCUUAACCAUAGUACGCUUUGGAAACUGUUUAACUUGAGUGCAAGAGGGGGAGAGUGGAAUUCCAUGUGUAGCGGUGAAAUGCGUAGAUAUAUGGAGGAACACCGGGUGGCGAAAGCGUGUCUCUGGUUGUAACUGACGCUGAGGCUCGAAGCGUGUGGAGCAAACAGGAUUAUAUACCCUUGUAGUCUGAGGGCUGAAUCCCCCGUGUGUGUGAGGCUGUGCGAGCCGCUGUGCCUGUGGGGAAAAAACCGAUGACGUGAUAUUUUUCCCUUUAUUGAGGUUAAUUAUGAUGUUGCUCAAAUGUGUUGUGUGGUUGUAUGCCUGUGUGUGUGUUCUUUUGAUGUGUUUGUGUCUGUUUCUUUGUGUUG
rnacentral:rRNA from 1 species